rnacentral:rRNA from 1 species
UACGUAGGCAGCAAGCGUUGUUCGGAGUUACUGGGCGUAAAGGGUGUGUAGGCGGUUCUUUAAGUUUGGUGUGAAAUCUCCCGGCUCAACUGGGAGGGUGCGCCGAAUACUGAGGGACUAGAGUACGGGAGAGGAAAGUGGAAUUCCUGGUGUAGCGGUGAAAUGCGUAGAUAUCAGGAGGAACACCGGUGGUGUAGACGGCUUUCUGGACCGUAACUGACGCUGAGACACGAAAGCGUGGGUAGCAAACACG